GUAGGGAAUAUUGGGCAAUGGAAGGAAUUCUGACCCAGCCAUGCCGCGUGCAGGAAUACAGUCCUAUGGACUUUAAACUGCUUUUAUUAUAGAGUAACCUGGGGGACGUGUCCCCCACUGCAAGUAUAUAAUGAAUAAGCAUCGGCUAACUCCGUGCCAGCAGCCGCGGUAAUACGGGGGAUGCAAGCGUUAUCCGGAUUUAUUGGGGUUAAAGGGUGCGCAGGCUGAUCGGUAAGUCAUGGGUGAAAAGUCACUGCUUAACAGUGAUCGUGCCUAUGAUACUGCCGGACUAGAGUUUAAGAGGUGUAACUGGAAUGUGAUGUGUAGCGGUGAAAUGCUUAGAUAUGUCACAGAACGCCAAUCGUGAAGACAGGUUACAAACUUAAUACUGACGCUCAUGCACGAAAGCGUGGGGAUCAAACAGGAUUAGAUACCCGAGUAGUCC
rnacentral:rRNA from 1 species